ACAAAAGUAACAGGAGGUGCAAGGUUGUCGACAGAUCGUGUAGAGAGAUGUUGGAUUAAGUCCCGCAACGAGCGCAACCCUUAAGCUUAGUUGCCAUCAUUAAGUUGGGCACUCUAGGCUGACUGCCGGUGACAAACAGGAGGAAGGUGGGGAUGACGUCAAAUCAUCAUGACCCUUAUGAUUUGGGCUACACACGUGCUACAAUGGACAAUACAAAGGGCAGCGAAACCGUGAGGUCAAGCCAAUCCCAUAAAGUUGUUCUCAGUUCGGAUUGUAGUCUGCAACUCGACUACAUG
rnacentral:rRNA from 1 species